AGAGUUUGAUCCUGGCUCAGAUUGAACGCUGGCGGCAUGCCUUACACAUGCAAGUCGAACGGCAGCAUGAUCUAGCCUGCUAGAUUGAUGGCGAGUGGCGAACGGGUGAGUAAUACAUCGGAACGUGCCCUGUAGUGGGGGAUAACUAGUCGAAAGAUUAGCUAAUACCGCAUACGACCUGAGGGUGAAAGUGGGGGACCGCAAGGCCUCAUGCUAUAGGAGCGGCCGAUGUCUGAUUAGCUAGUUGGUGAGGUAAAGGCUCACCAAGGCGACGAUCAGUAGCUGGUCUGAGAGGACGAUCAGCCACACUGGGACUGAGACACGGCCCAGACUCCUACGGGAGGCAGCAGAGGGGAAUUUUGGACAAUGGGCGAAAGCCUGAUCCAGCAAUGCCGCGUGUGUGAAGAAGGCCUUCGGGUUGUAAAGCACUUUUGUCCGGAAAGAAAUGGCUCUGGUUAAUACCUGGGGUCGAUGACGGUACCGGAAGAAUAAGGACCGGCUAACUACGUGCCAGCAGCCGCGGUAAUACGUAGGGUCCAGCGUUAAUCGGAAUUACUGGGNCGUAAAGCGUGCGCAGGCGGUUGUGCAAGACCGAUGUGAAAUCCCCGAGCUUAACUUGGGAAUUG
rnacentral:rRNA from 1 species